rnacentral:lncRNA from 1 species
UUUUUUUUUUUUUUUUUUUUUUUUUUGCACAAGUGCCAACUCAAUAAAAACGAAAUUUGUACAGGCCACAAAAAAAUUGUCAAAGAAAUGAAGAGAUUUUCUACAGGCCCUACCACCAGUUAGUCCAGAACAGGAGCUAGAAUCAAUCCAUUUCAUUUAAGGUAACCUUUUCUGAUGAGAGCUGAGGAGAGGAAAAUGAAUGAUCUCAGUCCUCCAUCCUCCACAGUUAGCUUCCUUAUGGCUACAGAAUCUUCGUUCUCCUUGGUUGGAUCAUGCUCCUGGGAAAGACACCAUGGCCACCUGUUUCUUAGAAUGACCAGCUGGACCCGGGCCUGUUGGAGAGAGCUGUGCAACUCUCCUGUGAUUUCUGAUGCCAGGGGUCAUGCUGGGUCACAGUGCAGCCCUGUCCUGUGGGAUCCUUCACUCCUGAGACUGCACCUCUGACUGCCACCCUGAAGACCAGCAAUUCUUCAAGGUAACUCUUCUGGUUGCCCUGGAAAUUGUCUCCUCUAUUCCUUUUCUUUGCAGUACUUGAAGAGCAUUGGUUUGACGCAUAAAACUAGAGGGCCACUUGCCCAGGUUGCUGGAUGCUUCUGAGUUAACUGAAGUUUUUAAACCCAAACACACAAAAUCUCAUCGUAAAAUCCAACACAGAGGUCAACAAUCCUUACUGUUUCGACCCUUGCUGUCACGAUAGUAGGGUAAUAUGAUGCAGGCCACAGGAAAAAGCUUUGCAGCAUUACUACUCACCUGUCUAAUGGGGAAGCAUCCCGUUGGCAACCUCUUUCAUCAAAAUAUUUGAAUUUGUCCUCCCAAAAUGAGGACCCCUAGCAAUCUUUAAUGGCCUGGAGGAAUUUGAUUUAUUUGCAGGAUAAAACCAAGUUAAAAUUUUUUUCAAAAGAAAAAAAGAAUAUCAGACAUCCAAGUCCCUGAAGACCAACAGAAACACUAAAGUCUAAGAAAGGAGAUCCACAGAAAGAACUCUUGGGUAUGAAGAAAACAGUGACCACAGAGAAAAGAUCAACCCAGCCCCACAGCUUCAAAAAGGAGGGCAAACCAAGGGGAAUUCUGAGGGUGACAGGUGUAACAGAUGGAGAAACUUCAUCAUAAAAGUGAUUGAAUGUGAGGAUAUCAAGGGCAGGGAAGGCAGAGAAACUUAAUCAAAAGAAAUGACACUUUUCUGCACGGAGAAAGCACACAAUUUUUUGGAGCGGCCCAAACUUCAUGAGGAAAGGGUUAUUACUAUUGUUUGUUCUUUCCUAUCGCAGCAGCCUAGCUGGAAAGCGAUAGUCAGCUAGAAAAAACACAAUGCAGCCUUCUGUUCUAGGGGAAGUGGAAACAAAAAAAGAGGUCCAAGGUUGCCUCCUUCUUACCCACUCUGGAGGCACAUUUUUAUACCAUUGUUGGACUUUGCGGUUUUCUUCUGGUUGCCAUGGCAUCAGAGAGACAAAUGCCUGGCUUCCACUUUAAAGCUGAAUUCUCUUACAAACAAAAUUGUUUCCAUUUGAGUAUAUUCUCACCCUCACGCUCCACCAGACAUGCUUUCAAAAGAACAUGUCUUUUUUAAAAUAUAGAUGAAAUUCAUUGCAUUCUUCUAUUUACCAAAAAAAAUUUAUUUUAAAAAAUUAGAAAAUGCAGAAAAAUAUUGUUUUAUAUAUUUUAUUUAUUUAUCCAUGAGAGAUACAGAGAGAGAGGCAGAGACACAGGCAGAGGGAGAAGCAGGCUCCAUGCAGGAAGCCUAAUGCGGGACCUGAUCCCAGGACCCCGGGGUCAUGACUGAGCCAAAGGCAGCUGCUCACUGAGCCACCCAAACAUUCUAAAAAUAUUUUUUUUAAUAAAAUGGAAUUGCCCUAUAAGCUCUUCACCUUCACAUGACAAACAAUUCACCUUUUGGCAUAUUUAUU